GGCCCAAAUUUGGGGUAGAGUAGAUAGAAGGAUCAUCUGACCCUGCUAAACUAGUCUACUUCGAGUUUGUGCUC
rfam:Haemonchus contortus, ISE/inbred ISE, WGS project CAVP01000000 data, contig: Hcontortus_contig_pathogens_Hcontortus_scaffold_5848